UUAGACUUCUGGAAAAAUUACCUUGUGUGGAUAGUAAUGACCGCACGUUUCCGAUUGCCUGCUGGCAGAACCUACAAUGUACGAGCGUCUGAGCUGGCACGAGACAGACAACAUACAGAGGUGGUCUGCAAUAUUCUUCUCCUGGAUAACACUGUACAAGCUUUCAGAGUUCAUAAAAACGAUCAGGGACAAGUUUUGUUGGAUAUAGUGUUCAAACAUCUCGAUUUGACAGAGAGGGAUUACUUUGGUUUACAGCUGGCUGACGAUUCCACUGAUAACCCAGUAAGUUGCAUCUGUUUUCUAAACCGUUUUUUUUUUUUUUGCAUG